CAAAAACAUCGCCUUUAGCCAUGCAAGUAUUAAAGGUCCCGCCUGCCCAGUGAAGACUUUAAACGGCCGCGGUAUCCUAACCGUGCAAAGGUAGCGCAAUCACUUGCCCCCUAAUUAGGGGCCAGUAUGAACGGCUAACUGAGGGCACAACUGUCUCCUUCGGCCAAUCAAUGAAACUGAUCACCCAGUACAAAAGCUGGGAUAUACACACAAGACGAGAAGACCCUGUGGAACUUUAAACCCCGCCACUAUCAGCCCAUCUCAAACCAAAAUGAGAUAGUGGCCGUUUUUAGUUGGGGCGACUGCGGAGCAAAACAAAACCUCCAUGACCAAAGGCUUGCCCCCCUCCAAGGCUAACACGCCAAAAAAACCACGCAGACCCAGACACCUGACCACCGAACCAAGCUACCCCAGGGAUAACAGCGCCAUCCCACCCAAGAGUCCAUAUCGCCAGUGGGGCUUACGACCUCGAUGUUGGAUCAGGACACCCAAGUGGCGCAGCCGCUACUAAGGGCCCGUUUGUUCAACGGCCAAUGUCCUACGUGAUCUGAGU
rnacentral:rRNA from 1 species